CUCUGUUGAAACCUUUCAGUUUCAGGUUUAGCUAGAGCUAAAGAAGAUUGAUCAUGAGGCCCCUCGGCAUAUUCUUGCUGUUCUCCAUGGCUCUGUGCUGCUUCAUGGAUACUGUUCAAGUUAAUAAAGUACCCCGAGAGGCUAAUUGUGAUUUUGCUAGUGGAUGCAAUUAUGACCCUGUCUGUGGCACUGAUGAUACUACCUAUGCCAAUGAAUGUCUUCUGUGUAUCGUAAAUAAGGGAAGAGAAGUUGACGUCCUCGUCAGAAAAUCUGGGAAGUGCUAAGAAACAAAAAUAUCUUGGAGGCCCCAGUAGGGUGGUACCAUGGCUAGCCAGCCUGAGUUAUUAAUAAAUACAUGAG
rnacentral:lncRNA from 1 species